AGAAUCAACGCUGGCGGCGUGCCUAACACAUGCAAGUCGAACGCGAAAGUCCCGCAAGGGAUAAGUAGAGUGGCAAACGGGUGAGUAACACGUGGGUGACCUGCCUUCGAGUGGGGGAGUAACGUCCCGAAAGGGACGCUAAUACCGCAUGACAUCCUGCUUUUUAAGAGGUGGAGAUCAAAGCUGGGGAUCGCAAGACCUAGCGCUUGAAGAGGGGCCCGCGCCUGAUUAGCUAGUUGGUGGGGUAAUGGCUCACCAAGGCAACGAUCAGUA
rnacentral:rRNA from 1 species